GGCCCAGAUCGUUUACCGUGAAAAAAUUAGAGUGUUCAAAGCAGGCAGAUCCAAUUUUCUGCCACCGAAUACAUUAGCAUGGGAUAAUGGAAUAGGACCCUGUCCUCCUAUUUUCAGUUGGUUUUGGCAGCGCGAGGACUAGGGUAAUGAUUAAUAGGGAUAGUUGGGGGCAUUAAUAUUUAAUUGUCAGAGGUGAAAUUCUUGGAUUUAUGAAAGAUUAACUUCUGCGAAAGCAUCUGCCAAGGAUGUUUUCAUUAAUCAAGAACGAAAGUUAGGGGAUCGAAGACGAUCAGAUACCGUCGUAGUCUUAACCAUAAACGAUGCCGACCAGCGAUUAGGAGACGUUGAAUACAAAACACCACCAUCGGCGCGGUCGUCCUUGGCGUCUCGGUCCUUCACGGGGCCGGGGCGCGAGGGCGGCUUAGCCCGGUGGCACCGGUGAAUGACUCCCCUAGCAGCUUGUGAGA
rnacentral:rRNA from 1 species